GACGAACGCUGGCGGCGUGCCUAAUACAUGCAAGUUGAGCGAUGAAGAUUGGUGCUUGCACCAAUUUGAAGAGCAGCGAACGGGUGAGUAACGCGUGGGGAAUCUGCCUUUGAGCGGGGGACAACAUUUGGAAACGAAUGCUAAUACCGCAUAAUAACUUUAAACAUAAGUUUUAAGUUUGAAAGAUGCAAUUGCAUCACUCAAAGAUGAUCCCGCGUUGUAUUAGCUAGUUGGUGAGGUAAAGGCUCACCAAGGCGAUGAUACAUAGCCGACCUGAGAGGGUGAUCGGCCACAUUGGGACUGAGACACGGCCCAAACUCCUACGGGAGGCAGCAGUAGGGAAUCUUCGGCAAUGGACGAAAGCCUGACCGAGCAACGCCGCGUGAGUGAAGAAGGUUUUCGGAUCGUAAAACUCUGUUGGUAGAGAAGAACGUUGGUGAGAGUGGAAAGCUCAUCAAGUGACGGUAACUACCCAGAAAGGGACGGCUAACUACGUG
rnacentral:rRNA from 1 species